UAGCUAUACCCAUACCCACUCAUUCUCUCUCCCCUACUGUUAUACCCACUACUCAUGAACCACCCACUCAUUCUUUCCCCAUUUUCUUCUUAAUUAUUUAUUACUACUCAAAAACACAACAAGAGAAAUCAGUUGUCAAUUAAUUUGUACGAUAAAGAGGUGGAGGAAGAGAAGGAGCGGCAAGCAUUGAACAGUAUAGGGUUCACCGCCACAGCCACCGACACCGCCACUUUCAGGUCCAUCCUCGACAAGCCUCUUCACUAGCUUACAGAAGAUGACAUUUCACAACUCACUUGUGAAGACUGUCGCAGAUUCCUCAAAGAAAAUGCAAUUCAGCAGGUCAUUUCCUUGAAGGCGCUGCUCAAACCCAACAACAAUGACGGUUUUGCUGUCGUUCCUACCCUCCAUUCAAUCUCUCCACCUCGGCCUCCACCUCAGCCUCAAGGAGACUUGAACAAUGCUUCACUCGCUGAAGAUCCGGCUCUUCAUGAUGGCGAUGAGAUUCAGAAAUCUGCAUCAUCUCCCAAAAAUUUCACUAAAACCAAUGAUACCAACACUGAAAAAACACAGACCUUAACAACAUGAACAUUGAAGAAACACAGCAAACCACACACGUCAUUUUAACUACUCUGCAAGGAUCUAUAUCCUAAAUAUGUAUGAUUGUCUUUUCACCCGACUUGGGGUGACUUUUCCUUUUUCUGAUUUUGAAACGGAAGUCCUGUCUUAUUGCAGAGUUGCCCCUUCCCAACAGCACCCAAAUUUUUGGGGUUUCAUGAAAAUCUACCAGCUUGUCAGUUGCAAGCUUAGUUUUCCGAUCUCUUUAAAGAUAUUCUUCUUUCUGUUUUAUCAUACCAAACCCUUUAGCGCCAUUUCUAAUAAAAACAAACAGCAAUGGGUUUCCUUCCGAGUCAUUCAAGGUCAAAAAGUCUUUUCUAUUUUUGACGAAUCCUUCCAAGAUUUCAAGAAUUUUUUCUUCAAAGUCCGAGCCGUAUAGGGUCACCAUCCCUUUUUUCUAAAUGAGAAUAAUAAGCCUCACUUUCCAUUAUACUGGAUAGAGGCAACCUCUGUUGAAAAAUACAAUUUGGUCGAUUUGGAUGAGAUCGAAGAGGCUGUAGUCGAAUUCCUCCGAGAGGCUUGGGGUGGGCUCCAAACCUCAACACAAAAGAAAAAAUGAAGAGUGGAUCUAAGGCAUACCUUAAAGUCCAGGAAGCAAAGAGGAACGCUCGUGCCCGAGCUGCUCAAUCGCAACAGAGCGGAACGUCGAUGACACCUUCCCCCACAGAAGUCGGAUUCGAUGACUUUUUCCUCUUUCUUAGGUAAGUCGAUAAAUCCUCUUCCUCCUCCUCCUCCUUCUCCUCCUUUUUUAGUUGUUACCCCACCUGUCCCUCCCUUCUCUGAGCCAAUUUCCAAGAAGAGAAAGACCUCAGAGCCUGGUGUUUCCAAUAUUGGCGACGCUGCAUUUGACGGAGUGAAAUUCUGUGAGAAGCACAUUUUGCCCCCACAGUUCUAUUUCUAUGGAUGACGCUUCGAUCCGAAAUCAUCUCCAGGUCUUAAUCCAAGGAGGGAUAAGGACUGUCGGGGUUUGCACUUCUCUCCUGAAAGAGCUGGAUAGGACUCCUCUGAAUGCCACUCAACUUUCUCUGGAGUCCCUUCAGGCCGAGGUGGCCGCUCUUCAGGGGGGUAGAAAAGGAGCUGUAGGAGUGGUGCACAAAAUUGACUCCGCAAUAUUCGCACAGAUAGACCAGCAAGUGUACCGGGUCGUCCAAGUAAUACCUCAGGUGAGUGAGAGUCGAUUCCAUUGAGAUUGUUGGUUUAAACAAGCAAUGGAUACCUUGUAGAUCUUAGCCAGGCAGAUAGAAAAGAUGAUUGUUGUCGUGAAAAACGCAUAAAACAGAAUAAAUAAAUAAAAUGUUACUAGAUAGAUGUGAAAUCAGUGAUGAGAGAAUGGUUGAGGCUUCGAAGAUGCUUCCUCUUUCUGGAUCAACUUUUCUCACUGUCUACUCCAACUUCUGAUGAUUCAUUCCAUGGCAGGCUGUAAAUGACUAAUGCCAGGUUAACGAUCAUUAGUCUCCUCUACUUCAGAUCAAACGCCAGAUUAAUGGUCAUCCAAUCUGAAUAGGGGUGAAGCUCUAGCAGUCCAUUCCCUUGGUGAUCCUACUCAAAACGCCACAGACAAGGUCGGAUCUUCCAAAUUAGAGAAUGCUGCUUAGUUGAUUCUAGCCUAUACCACAAAGGCCCUAAUCGCCCCAUACCUCGGCUGCACUUAUGUCUCCAAGUACCUAACAAAGUCAUGAAUUAGCCGUCUAAAAGAUGUAUAAUCAAAGUUGUGGUUCAAUACUAUGCCGUCAAGGACUCGCAAGAACCCAUGUGAGUAGGGAUGACAGUCAAGUUACACUCCCAAUUCAUUAGGAUGAAGAACGAAGAUACAUCUUAGAAUAGAAUCAUUAGAAGAUUGAAAUAGAAUAAUGAUAUUAUUAAUUCAUAAAAGUCAACAGAGCUCGUAACCUUAACCUAGGAGGUUUAGUUGCUCAUAGCUUACAGAAAAGUAAUGUAAAAUGUGUAGAGUGGCUAAGAGCUCAUAACAAGGGUGAACUUUUGUCUAUAUAUACUAAUCUAAUAAUCUAGCUUUGGACUCUGGUGCACGAAUUUGUGAUCCGCACAACUAACCAGCAAGUGCACUGGGUCGUCCAAGUAAUACCUUACUUGAGUAAGGGUCGAUCCCACGGAGAUUAUUGGUUUGAAUCAAGCUAUGUUUAUCUUAUUAUUCUUAGUCAGGAUAUUAAUUAAAAUUAUCAGUCGGAAUUAUUAGAUUGGAAAAAUAAAAGAGAAUAAAAGCGUUACUUGUUGUGCAGUAAUGAGAAAUAUGUUGGAGUUUUGGAGAUGCUUUGUCCUCUGAACUUCAACUCUUCCUUGAAAUCCUUUUCCACACGCAAAGUCCCUUCCAUGGCAAGCUCUAUGUAGGGUGUCACCGUUGUCAAUGGCUACUUCCCAUCCUCUCAGUGAAAACGUUCCUAUGCUCUGUCACAGCACGGCUAAUCAUCUGUCGGUUCUCAAUCAGGUUGGAAUAGAAUCCAUUGAUUCUUUUGCGUUUGUCACUAACGCCCAGCCUUAAGGAGUUUGAAGCUCGUCACAGUCAUUCAAUCCCAGAAUCCUACUCAGAAUACCACAGACAAGGUUUAGACUUUCCGGAUUCUCAUGAAUGCCGCCAUCAAUCCGGCUCAUACCACGAAGAUUCUGAGUAAUGAAUCUAAGAGAUACUCAUUCAAUCUGAUGUAGAACGGAGGUGAUUUUCAGGCACACGUUCAUAGAUUGAGGAAGGUGAUGAGUGUCACGGAUCAUCACCUUCUCCAUAAUUAAGCGCGAAUGAACAUCUUAGAUAAGAACAAGCGUGUUUGAAUGGAAAAUAAAGGAAUUGUAUUAAUUCAUCGAGACGCUGCAGAGCUCCUCACCCCCAACAAUGGAGUUUAGAGACUCAUGCCGUCAAAGUGUAUAAAAUCUAGAUCUGAAAAUGUCAUAAGGUACAAAAUAAGUCUUUAAAAGUUUGUUUAAAUAGUAAACUAGUAGCCUAGGUUUACAGAAAAUAAGUAAACUAAGAUAAUUGGUGCAGAAAUCCACUUCUAGAGCCCACUUGGUGUGUGCUGGGGCUGAGACUAAAGCUAUCCACGAGCUGAGGCUUUUCUUGGAGUUGAACUCCAAGUUAUAACGUGUUUUGGGCGUUCAACUCCGGAUCAUGACGUGUUUCUGGCGUUUAACUCCAGACAGCAGCAUGUACUUGGCGUUCAACGCCAAGUUACGUCGUCUAUCUUCGCGCAAAGUAUGGACUAUUAUAUAUUGCUGGAAAGCCCUGGAUGUCUACUUUCCAACGCCGUUGAGAGCGCGCCAAUUGGACUCCUGUAGCUCCAGAAAAUCCAUUUCGAGUGCAGGGAGGUCAGGAUCCAACAGCAUCAGCAGUCCUUUUUCAGCCUAACUCAGAUUUUUGCUCAGCUCCCUCAAUUUCAGCCAGAAAAUAUCUGAAAUUACAGAAAAACACACAAACUCAUAGUAAAGUCCAGAAAUAUGAUUUUUUCCUAAAAACUAAUAAUAUUUAACUAAAAACUAAUUAAAACAUGCUAAAAUCUACAUGAAAUUACCCCCAAAAAGCGUAUAAAAUAUCCGCUCAUCACAACACCAAACUUAAACUGUUGCUUGUCCUCAAGCAACUAGAUAAAUAAAAGAGGAUAAAAAGAAAUCAAGAAGCAAUAAUAUCUCAGAGUUUUAAGUGAAGCUCAGAUUCUAAUUGGAUGAGUGGGGCUAGUAGCUUUUUUCUUCUGAACAGUUUUGGCAUCUCACUUUAUCCUUUGAAAUUCAGAAUGAUUGGCAUCCAUAGGAACUCAGAAUUCAGAUAGUAUUAUUGAUUCUCCUAGUUUAGUAUGUUGAUUCUUGAACACAACUACUUUAUGAGUCUUGGCCGUGGCCCUAAGCACUUUGUUUUCCAGUAUUACCACCGGAUACAUAAAUGCCACAGACACAUAACUGGGUGAACCUUUUCAGAUUGUGACUUAGCCUUGCUCAAGUCCCCAAUUAGAGGUGUCCAGAGUUCUUAAGCACACUCUUUUGCUUUGGAUCACGACUUUAACCAAUCAGUCUCAAGCUUUUCACUUGGACUUGCAUGCCACAAGCACAUGGUUAGGGACAGCUUGAUUUAGCCGCUUAGGCCUGGAUUUAUUUUCUUGGGCCCUCCUAUCCAUUGAUGCUCAAAGCCUUGGAUCCUUUUCACCCUUGCCUUUUGGUUUAAAGGGCUAUUGGCUUU